GACGAACGCUGGCGCGUGCUUUACACAUGCAAGUCGAACGAGAACCUUCCUUCGGGAAGCAGAGAGUGGCGAACGGGUGAGUAACACGUGGGCAACCUACCCCUCACACUGGGAUAACCUCGGGAAACCGGGGCUAAUACCGGAUAUUCACGACCUCGGGCAUCCGAGGACGUGGAAAGGAUUCUGGUGAGGGAUCGGGCCCGCGGCCUAUCAGUUUGUUGGUGGGGUAAUGGCCUACCAAGACGACGACGGGUAGCCGGCCUGAGGAGGGCGACCGGCCACACUGGGACUGAGACACCGGCCCAGACUCCGUACGGGAGGCUGCAGGUGGGGAAUAUUGCGCAAUGGACGAAAGUCUGACGCAGCAACGCCGCGUGAGGGAUGAAGUACAUCGAGAUGUAAACCUCUUUCAGUAGGGACGAAGCGAAAGUGACGGUACCUGCAAAAGAAGCGCCGGCUAACUACGUG
rnacentral:rRNA from 1 species